rnacentral:rRNA from 1 species
ACGCUCGACACCUACGGGAGGCUGCAGUAGGGAAUCUUCCACAAUGGGCGCAAGCCUGAUGGAGCAACACCGCGUGAGUGAAGAAGGGUUUCGGCUCGUAAAGCUCUGUUGUUGGAGAAGAACGUGCGUGAGAGUAACUGUUCACGCAGUGACGGUAUCCAACCAGAAAGUCACGGCUAACUACGUGCCGGCAGCCGCGGUAAUCUGAGCGGGCUGGCAAGGC